GACGAACGCUGGCGGCGUGCCUAACACAUGCAAGUCGAACGAAGUAUAUUUUCGGAUAUGCUUAGUGGCGGACGGGUGAGUAACGCGUGAACAAUCUGCCCUGUACACAGGAAUAGCCUCGGGAAACUGGGAUUAAAACCGGAUAACACUUUCUGGCCGCAUGGCCGGGAAGUCAAAUUGAUUUAGAGGUACAGGAUGAGUUCGCGUCUGAUUAGCUAGUUGGUGAGGUAACGGCUCACCAAGGCGACGAUCAGUAGCCGGCCUGAGAGGGUGAACGGCCACACUGGAACUGAGACACGGUCCAGACUCCUACGGGAGGCAGCAGUGGGGAAUAUUGCACAAUGGAGGAAACUCUGAUGCAGCGACGCCGCGUGAGUGAAGAAGGUCUUCGGAUCGUAAAACUCUGUCCUUGGUGACGAAAAAAUGACGGUAGCCAAGGAGGAAGCCCCGGCUAACUACGUGCCAGCAGCCGCGGUAAUACGUAGGGGGCGAGCGUUGUCCGGAUUUACUGGGCGUAAAGGGUGAGUAGGCGGUAAUAUGUGUCAGAUGUAAAAGGCUAUGGCUUAACCAUAGUUGGCAUUUGAAACUGUAUUACUUGAGUGCAGGAGAGGUAAGUGGAAUUCCUAGUGUAGCGGUGAAAUGCGUAGAUAUUAGGAGGAACACCAGUGGCGAAGGCGACUUACUGGACUGUAACUGACGCUGAGUCACGAAAGCGUGGGUAGCAAACAGGAUUAGAUACCCUGGUAGUCCACGCUGUAAACGAUGAGUGCUAGGUGUUGGGUAGCGAUAUUCAGUGCCGAAGUAAACACAAUAAGCACUCCGCCUGGGGAGUACGGUCGCAAGACUGA
rnacentral:rRNA from 1 species